CCGGACAGACCACUUUCUAUUUCAUUUUUUCCCCCCUUUUUCAUGCGUUCGUCUCGCUCUCCUAAGGAUCCGGCCUUCUUACCCGAUCGACCGGGUGGACUGGUCUCGGGAACGGGCCCCUGCGUGUCCAGCAGCGGGCUAAACAAUGCUUAACGACCAGAGAGACGGACCUUUAACGAGCCCCUUUAAUGCGCCCAGGGUGUCACGAACCUCGCUGCUUUCGGCUACCGUGCAAACAAACGCGCUUCUAAUCUCUCGUGUCGUUCGGCCCGCUUGCCUCCGAAUCGGGAUAAUUUGCAGCGAUUUUCCUUUCCUGGACGAUGUAAAUUAGGAAUUUUUGAGAAACCUUGGAUAUCGCGUGCGUUUCCUUAGAACGGGCCAGGUAGAAAUAUCGUAUUUUUGGAACGACGGUCGUUUGGCUUUCUUCGCAUUAUCGCGUUCCUUUUACAAAACAGUGAGUUUGCUUUACAAGGCUAUUUCAUUUUAGAAUUCUUUGCCAUGUGAAAAACGAUAGUAUAAGAAUAUUUAUGUGUUUAUUGUGAUACCGAUCGUAAUACCGUAUACUAUUGGUAGAAAAAAUGGUAUCGAAGUAUUUCUUGGAUAAAAGUAAAUGGGAUUUCUUGGGAUUAUUAGACAAGAGUGUUUGAAGAGUUUCAGGGUCUCUUGCUUCGUCGAAAAAUAAUAGACUAGUUUUAUUGUAGUUAUUAUGAGCUUAAAAUAUAUCUCGAAGAAGUCGCGUAUUUCGAUGAAAGGAUCGAAGGAAGGUUCGAGAGAAAGAUCGAGGAAUCACAAAGCAAAGGAGGUUGCUGCAUUGCACCGAGUAUUACGAGCCAAUCGCAAGCGGUUACGGGUUCCGAGAAUAAAAGCAGCGAGAUUUGCUACGCGAAUUCCAAAUGAACGAGUACCAAUGUUUUAUUACCUGUGGCUUUUUAUAGAGCAGACCGACCAGAAUAUAUAAUUCCCUCUCUUCGAAUUUCUCUACGUUGGUUAUCUCUAUCUAUAGAGACAAACAAUAAAACAAAUCUACAUCGUGAUGCGACCCUAACAGUAACUCGAAGAUAGAGUAUCCAAAUCAUACCCAAAAACCAAAAACUAAAGAGACACAAGAAAUAAUAUUUCGCAAGGUUCCAAUAACUUUUUCCGCUCGAAUCAUCUGUGAACGAAUAAAAUCAGAAACAUCGGAGAAACAAGAAAGAUAAAGAAGAAUAAAGGGAAAACGAAAAGUCACGUUCGUUUCUUUUCCAGGGCUUUUUAUUUUCAACGAAACAGGCUUUCGAUGGAGAAAGUUCGAGGCGGAUAGAUAGCGUGUCCGUCGAACAUCACGCGCGCGCGCGUGUGCACGAUUCAGUCCCGGUCAUUGCACGCCUCCCUACGGAUCCCGAUUUUUCGGUUUUCGUCCUUUUUUUUUUUACGGAGGCCCUCUUCCUCUUCUUUUCGUCUCCCUUUGUGCUGUUUAAUCCUCAGCCCUCCGUCCCGCUGCUCCUUCGCUUCCUUGCACCGGCUGUCCUCGUCCCUCCGCCGCUUCGCCGCCGACGAAACUGCAUCGCGAUAUUUUAUUGGUUUUAUUCGCGGGAACAUCUGGCGCUCGGACAAAGGGAACUGGCCCUCAGGAAAUCUUCAGGAACGGAGGGUGGUUCGUCCGUUUUCGUUAGCCUGGUCGGCUCUAUUUACUUAUACCUAGUGACGUAGAAUGUUUGUAAACAAUGGCUUGGAUGCAGCCGUGGAUCGCCGAUCGACGCCAUCGUGGAUUAGGCUGCUCAUCCUGUCCAUUGAGGGUGGAUAUCUGAAGCGUCCAAUGGUCGACUCGAUACGUUUCUGGGGAAAGUACGAAGACGUUUUUGAAUCAUCGUGCGACGUUUCUGGUGAAAGGUGGUGGAAUGUUAACGACGCGGCGGAAAGAUAGAGAGAUUCUUGGAGAAUCGGCUUGCAGGCUUAACGUUUGCUAUGCGGAAUAACAGGACUUUCACGAUGGGCAAUCUAGGAUCUGCAUUCUCCACUCUUAAGAAUGACCCUUGAAAGGGAGACUCGAGACGAUUUGCAUACCAGGAUUUAUUGGCUACGUCGGAGCGCCGAUGAUAAUGUGAUCCGUUCGAAUUUACCGAACCUCAGCGUUGUACCAGCUUUCUCCGUUUUGUAACAUAACGUAGGAUGGAUCCUUACGAGACGAAGAGAAACAACUUGCAAGAGAGAAUUCUCCUAUCUAUGAAAGGAAAAAGCGCAGCUACGAAGCGCGGUUCGCUACAGGUGGUUUCAAAAGAUCGGUGGAUCUCAGGUCGAAGAAGAACCAUCGUGCCACGAUCUAUGCACACAUCGGGGCAACUCGCAAACCACUUCCCUCUCCUUUUGCAUCUGCUUGGACGCACGGAGCGUUCAGGAGAGCGGAUUUAAAACGAAGUUCGCGAGUGUAGGCGCGUUUCGGAACGAAAACAGACCGGUUCGCCAGGGCAGAGAGAGGCGCAACUCCAGCUUGUGGACCAAGCGACCGGCCAGCAUGGCGUCCCUUGGAUCCCUUUAAAACGAGUUAAUCCGUCUGCCUGGCCGUCUGCCGAUCGCCUGAGAACCAAGAAGAUUCAUUUUCCCUUUGUCCAUUCUUUUUCACACGUACCAAAAGGAGCUGCGGCUCAAUGGGACAAUGCAGCCAGCGCCGCGCGUUUUACGACGUUCCUUUUCGCACAGGUCCCACACACAUUUGAAUAAUCAACGCGUAGGCACAAGACCGCUUUUGUCGAACCGGGAACUCGAAAGGGAAAGAGAGAGAGAGAGAAUCAAGGAGAGGAAAGAGAAACGUCUCGAAGGCAGUCACGACAAAAGUGACACGCACGAUACGAAAUGAUUGUGUUGCAUAUUCUCGAACUGGACCCCGAAACACGGACAGAUGUUUCCCUUGCGUUCUCGUUUAGUUCGUCUCGAGAUCAUUUGUUCUGUCGCGCUACUAGAGCCAGAGGUGAAAAGACUACGCAUCGCGAUUACGUCAGACUUCCUUUCCUCCUUUUAAUUCGCGCGAGUUCGUUAACCUUCGACUCGUGAACUCUUCCUCUUAGCCGCUUCUCGAGGGAAUCUUCGUGGCCUUCUCUUUGCCCGUACGUCCCUUUCAAACGUUGCAUCGCGAACCUGGCCCUUGGUUUUUUGCCAAGGGUGAACGUUCUUCGAAAGAAAGCAACUCUUUUACAUCGUAUAAAGAAUCGUUUCUUUCACUUUUGUUUCUUUUGAGCAGACUCGACGAAAUGCUCGGACAAAUAUUACCAGGAUCCUGUGUGAUCCUUCCCGCGAAGCCUUCAACAGAAUACCAGAAAGAGUAACUUGAGAGAGGGAAUCGAUGUUCCUCGCCGCAGAUGUUCAUGCGUUUACGUAGACGGAGGGAAGUGUCUCGUAAAACCAUGUAAAUCUAAUGGACGAAGUUCGUUAACCUGACACGCGUGAAUUUAUGGCCGGUUCUCGAGGGAACAAAAGUGCCUUGAGAUCCUUCUGACGAACGAAACGCAUGUCGCACGUAUUUAGACGUUUUACGACUUCCUAUCGUUGCACGUAGUUCAUAACCGUGAACUUGGGAAUUCCCUCGCAACGGGACAUUCUUGAUUUAUUAUUGUACUAUUUUGUUUGUCUAUGUCCCUUGCAAUUUAAGGCGUUACGCCGGUUCACGAUAAAUCAUUCACAACGUUAACCGCAAAUCUCGAAAGCGACGUCGAACUGAAAAUUCCACAUUUUUAAUCAUUUUCCCAAUACAGACCACGAAAAUAUCCUGUUACGCUUCUUAUAACGGAGAAAUAAUUUUCCCAGAAAUAACAAUCGAUUUCGAAAGCAACGACGACUUGAGAGAAACUGACGCUGACUUUGGAUUAUUUUACCAAAACAGACCACCGUUACACCGUUGAAUCUCACAAAACUAGCUAUCAAUUUGCAAAACAACGUUGAUAAAAGUUACCAUUUGGUCCAUUUGUCCAAUACAAAUCUCAGACUUCUUUUACAUACUGUAUGUUUCAAAUCUAUUAUUCAAGACAUUCACUGACAAUCAUCUAAGAACUCCCCACCGUUACACACAGCACCCAUUUCUCGCUAACCACGCUCAAUAUUCACCACGUCGAUGCAAUUUCUCUCGCAUAACGUAAAUGGUACCGCGAUUUAUCUCU